GAGUAUUAUCUCAUGCUAUUUUGUGUUACCAACCUAGAUAACACUGUCUCGAGCUGUCCUUUAGCAGGCACGGGGUCUGGAAGCUACUAAGACCCGAAGGAAACUUUACACAGUGCAGACGAUGAUUUAGAUUGGAAGGCUAAAGAAUAAACUACAGAACCAACAGGACCGUGAAGACUUUUGGCUGCUAUUUCCAGUGGGCUGUAAUAGUUAACACUUAAAAGGAAACCUGAGGAUUUAAAACCAAAAAAGUGGCAUCUUCCAAAAGUCUGCCUUCUGGUGCCUUUGUAUGAACCAUCAUGGAGCAGCUGGCCCUGGUUUCUCUAAGCAAAGGAUUUGAGCAGCUGAAAAAG